AGUGAACGCUGGCGGUGGGCCUAACACAUGCAAGUCGAACGGCAGCACAGUAAGAGCUUGCUCUUACGGGUGGCGAGUGGCGGACGGGUGAGGAAUACAUCGGAAUCUACUUUUUCGUGGGGGAUAACGUAGGGAAACUUACGCUAAUACCGCAUACGACCUACGGGUGAAAGCAGGGGAUCUUCGGACCUUGCGCGAUUGAAUGAGCCGAUGUCGGAUUAGCUAGUUGGCGGGGCAAAGGCCCACCAAGGCGACGAUCCGUAGCUGGUCUGAGAGCAUGAUUCGCCACACUGGAUCUGAGACAGGGUCCAGACUCCUAGGGGAGGAAGCAGUGGGGAAUAUUGGGCAAGGGGGGCGAGCCUGAUCCAGCCAUACCGCGUGAGUGAAGAAGGCGUUCGGGUUGUAAAGCCAUGUUGUUGGGAAAGAAAAGCAGCAGGUUAACACCCCGCGGUACUGACGGUACCCAAAGAAUAAGCACCGGCUAACUUCGUG
rnacentral:rRNA from 1 species